AAUUUAUGAGAAACAAAAUAUUUUAGCACAGGGACUAUAAUUUAUCUAAGCCGGGCCUGCCUGCAGCAAAGAAGGCAGUUAUUAAAGGACUUUCGUUUGAUCCCAUCGGUCUGCUCACAUUCAAAUUAGCUAAAAGAGGCAGUGAAGUGAGAUUCGUGGACUUUUUUCGUAAACAAUAUAAGCGUAAAGUGACUUAUCUACAUCUUCCUGCAAUCCAAAUUGGGGCUGGUGAAUACGUGCCUAUGGAGUUCUGCCGUAUAGCUAGUGGCCAGCCGUACACACAACGUCUUAGUGAGCAGGCAUUCCGUCUUAGUCGAGAGCAAGCGAAGAAUUUCCGAAGUGCUUCUGUCAUAACGCCUGGCAGGAGAGAGAGUAUGAUACAAACG